UACGGGGGGAGCAAGCGUUGUUCGGAUUUACUGGGCGUAAAGGGCGCGUAGGCGGCGCAACAAGUCACUUGUGAAAUCUCCGGGCUUAACCCGGAGCGGCCAAGUGAUACUGUCGUGCUAGAGUGCGGAAGGGGCUACUGGAAUUCUCGGUGUAGGCGGUGAAAUGCGUAGAUGAUCGAAGAGGAACAGCCUGCGGCAAGGCGGGUAGCCUGGGCC
rnacentral:rRNA from 1 species